rnacentral:rRNA from 1 species
CAGCCCUAAACGAUGCGCGUUAGGUGUAUCGGUGACCACGAGUCACCGAGGUGCCGAAGGGAAACCGUGAAACGUGCCGCCUGGGAAGUACGGUCGCAAGGCUGAAACUUAAAGGAAUUGGCGGGGGAGCACCACAACAGGUGGAGCCUGCGGUUUAAUUGGAUUCAACGCCGGACAUCUCACCGGAUAAGACAGCUGAAUGAUUGUCAAUCUGAAGGUUUUACAUGACUAGCUGAGAGGAGGUGCAUGGCGUCAGUGACU